rnacentral:rRNA from 1 species
CUCGUUGAACUCAAUUAUCCAUAGGGCCAUGACGCCCUCACUGGACUGUCAGCAGAAACUCUGGACUGACCCGACCCAUGUGAGUUGUCAUGGUCCGCGUGUGGACAUCGUGAUCCAUUACGAAAUGUAAGCGGUGACUCCGGUUGCCGCGAGCAUGUCUGACACUAGGUCCCAAGAAACUGCUGUCGACCCUCUACGUACCUUCAAUGGUGACGAUGGGCUAUCGGAACCCACGGGUAACCGGUUUUCGGCUAAGUUCAGGUGUGCCGUUGGACGCGUGAUGGGCUUGAACGAACUAGAGGGCUGGAAGCGCAUGUUUGGGCAUGUAACUGGGCGCGAGCCCGGGGCGACCAGUGCUCCUGAUCGGCGAUGCAUUAACUAAUUGAGGUACCUACGGG